rnacentral:rRNA from 1 species
GAUGAACGCUGGCGGCGUGCCUAAUACAUGCAAGUCGAGCGAACAGACGAGGAGCUUGCUCCUCUGACGUUAGCGGCGGACGGGUGAGUAACACGUGGAUAACCUACCUAUAAGACUGGGAUAACUUCGGGAAACCGGAGCUAAUACCGGAUAAUAUAUUGAACCGCAUGGGUCAAUAGUGAAAGACGGUUUUGCUGUCACUUAUAGAUGGAUCCGCGCCGCAUUAGCUAGUUGGUAAGGUAACGGCUUACCAAGGCAACGAUGCGUAGCCGACCUGAGAGGGUGAUCGGCCACACUGGAACUGAGACACGGUCCAGACUCCUACGGGAGGCAGCAGUAGGGAAUCUUCCGCAAUGGGCGAAAGCUUGACGGAGCAACGCCGCGUGAGUGAUGAAGGUCUUCGGAUCGUAAAACUCUGUUAUUAGGGAAGAACAAAUGUGUAAGUAACUAUGCACGUCUUGACGGUACCUAAUCAGAAAGCCACGGCUAACUACGUG